GAGGGUGCGAGCGUUGUCCGGAAUCACUGGGCGUAAAGGGCGCGUGGGUGGCGGCCCAAGUCCAUGGUGAAAGCUCGAUGCUCAACAUCGAGUCGGCCACGGAUACUGGGUUGCUCGAGCACUGUAGAGGCAGAUGGAAUUCCGGGUGUAGCGGUGGAAUGCGUAGAGAUCCGGAAGAACACCGGUGGCGAAGGCGGUCUGCUGGGCAGUAGCUGACACUGAGGCGCGACAGCGUGGGGAGCAAACAGGAUUAGAUACCCUGGUAGUCCACGCCGUAAACGAUGGGCACUAGAUGCUUGGGGGAGCGACCCCCUGAGUGUCGUCGCUAACGCAGUAAGUGCCCCGCCUGGGGAGUACGGCCGCAAGGCUG
rnacentral:rRNA from 1 species